rnacentral:rRNA from 1 species
GAUGAACGCUGGCGGCGUGCCUAAUACAUGCAAGUCGAGCGAACGGACGAGAAGCUUGCUUCUCUGAUGUUAGCGGCGGACGGGUGAGUAACACGUGGAUAACCUACCUAUAAGACUGGGAUAACUUCGGGAAACCGGAGCUAAUACCGGAUAAUAUUUUGAACCGCACGGUUCAAAAGUGAAAGACGGUCUUGCUGUCACUUAUAGAUGGAUCCGCGCUGCAUUAGCUAGUUGGUAAGGUAACGGCUUACCAAGGCAACGAUGCAUAGCCGACCUGAGAGGGUGAUCGGCCACACUGGAACUGAGACACGGUCCAGACUCCUACGGGAGGCAGCAGUAGGGAAUCUUCCGCAAUGGGCGAAAGCCUGACGGAGCAACGCCGCGUGAGUGAUGAAGGUCUUCGGAUCGUAAAACUCUGUUAUUAGGGAAGAACAUAUGUGUAAGUAACUGUGCACAUCUUGACGGUACCUAAUCAGAAAGCCGCGGCUAACUACGUG